GACGAACGCUGGCGGCGUGCUUAACGCAUGCAAGUCGAACGGAAAGGCCCUGCUUUUGUGGGGUGCUCGAGUGGCGAACGGGUGAGUAACACGUGAGUAACCUGCCCUUGACUUUGGGAUAACUUCAGGAAACUGGGGCUAAUACCGGAUAGGAGCUCCUGCUGCAUGGUGGGGGUUGGAAAGUUUCGGCGGUUGGGGAUGGACUCGCGGCUUAUCAGCUUGUUGGUGGGGUAGUGGCUUACCAAGGCUUUGACGGGUAGCCGGCCUGAGAGGGUGACCGGCCACAUGGGGACUGAGAUACGGCCCAGACGCCUACGGGAGGCAACAGUGGGGAAUAUUGCACAAUGGGCGGAAGCCUGAUGCAGCAACGCCGCGUGCGGGAUGACGGCCUUCGGGUUGUAAAACGCUUUCGCCUGUGACGAAGCGUGAGUGACGGUAAUGGGUAAAGAAGCACCGGCUAACUACGU
rnacentral:rRNA from 1 species